GACGAACGCUGGCGGCGUGCUUAACACAUGCAAGUCGAACGAAGCUUGAUUACGGAUUCUUCGGAUGAAGUAUGAUAUGACUGAGUGGCGGACGGGUGAGUAACGCGUGAGUAACCUGCCCUUCAGAGGGGGAUAGCGUUUGGAAACGAACGGUAAUACCGCAUAAUGUAUUUUGACCGCAUGAUCGAAAUACCAAAGAUUUAUCGCUGAAGGAUGGACUCGCGUCUGAUUAGGUAGUUGGUGGGGUAACGGCCUACCAAGCCGACGAUCAGUAGCCGGACUGAGAGGUUGAUCGGCCACAUUGGGACUGAGACACGGCCCAGACUCCUACGAGAGGCAGCAGUGGGGAAUAUUGCACAAUGGGCGCAAGCCUGAUGCAGCAACGCCGCGUGAAGGAAGACGGUUUUCGGAUUAUAAACUUCUGUUCUUAGUGAAGAAUAAUGACGGUAGCUAAGGAGCAAGCCACGGCUAACUACGUG
rnacentral:rRNA from 1 species